rnacentral:rRNA from 1 species
AUUGAACGCUGGCGGCAUGCCUUACACAUGCAAGUCGAACGGCAGCGGGGGAGAAGCUUGCUUUUCCUGCCGGCGAGUGGCGAACGGGUGAGUAAUACAUCGGAACGUGCCCUGUAGUGGGGGAUAACUAGUCGAGAGAUUAGCUAAUACCGCAUACGACCUGAGGGUGAAAGUGGGGGACCGUAAGGCCUCAUGCGAUAGGAGCGGCCGAUGUCUGAUUAGCUAGUUGGUGGGGUCAAGGCCUACCAAGGCGACGAUCAGUAGCUGGUCUGGGCGGACGAUCAGCCACACUGGGACUGAGACACGGCCCAGACCCCUACGGGAGGCAGCAGUGGGGAAUUUUGGACAAUGGGCGAAAGCCUGAUCCAGCAAUGCCGCGUGUGUGAAGAAGGCCUUCGGGUUGUAAAGCACUUUUGUCCGGAAAGAAAUGGCUCUGGUUAAUACCUGGGGUCGAUGACGGUACCGGAAGAAUAAGGACCGGCUAACUACGUGCCAGCCGCCGCCGUAA